rnacentral:tRNA from 1 species
GGAGAGGUGGCGGAGUCCGGUUGAACGUGCCUGACUCGAAAUCAGGUGAGGGGGCAACUCCUCCGUGGGUUCGAAUCCCACCCUCUCCGCCA